GACGGAGGGUGCUAGCGUUGUUCGGAAUGACUGGGCGUAAAGGGCGCGUAGGCGGCCGCUUGCGUCGGAUGUGAAAGCCCGGGGCUCAACCCCGGAACUGCCUUUAAGACUGCAUCGCUAGAAUUGUGGAGAGGUGAGUGGAAUUCCGAGUGUAGAGGUGAAAUUCGUAGAUAUUCGGAAGAACACCAGUGGCGAAGGCGGCCCACUGGAUCGGUACUGACGCUGAGGUGCGAAAGCGUGGGGAGCAAACAGG
rnacentral:rRNA from 1 species